UUUAUGGAGAGUUUGAUCCUGGCUCAGGAUGAACGCUGGCGGCGUGCCUAAUACAUGCAAGUCGAGCGAACAGACAAGGAGCUUGCUCCUUUGACGUUAGCGGCGGACGGGUGAGUAACACGUGGGUAACCUACCUAUAAGACUGGGAUAACUUCGGGAAACCGGAGCUAAUACCGGAUAAUAUUUCGAACCGCAUGGUUCGAUAGUGAAAGAUGGUUUUGCUAUCACUUAUAGAUGGACCCGCGCCGUAUUAGCUAGUUGGUAAGGUAACGGCUUACCAAGGCGACGAUACGUAGCCGACCUGAGAGGGUGAUCGGCCACACUGGAACUGAGACACGGUCCAGACUCCUACGGGAGGCAGCAGUAGGGAAUCUUCCGCAAUGGGCGAAAGCCUGACGGAGCAACGCCGCGUGAGUGAUGAAGGUCUUCGGAUCGUAAAACUCUGUUAUUAGGGAAGAACAUACGUGUAAGUAACUAUGCACGUCUUGACGGUACCUAAUCAGAAAGCCACGGCUAACUACGUGCCAGCAGCCGCGGUAAUACGUAGGUGGCAAGCGUUAUCCGGAAUUAUUGGGCGUAAAGCGCGCGUAGGCGGUUUUUUAAGUCUGAUGUGAAAGCCCACGGCUCAACCGUGGAGGGUCAUUGGAAACUGUAAAAUUGAGUGCAGAAGAGGAAAGUGGAAUUCCAUGUGUAGCGGUGAAAUGCGCAGAGAUAUGGAGGAACACCAGUGGCGAAGGCGACUUUCUGGUCUGUAACUGACGCUGAUGUGCGAAAGCGUGGGGAUCAAACAGGAUUAGAUACCCUGGUAGUCCACGCCGUAAACGAUGAGUGCUAAGUGUUAGGGGGUUUCCGCCCCUUAGUGCUGCAGCUAACGCAUUAAGCACUCCGCCUGGGGAGUACGACCGCAAGGUUGAAACUCAAAGGAAUUGACGGGGACCCGCACAAGCGGUGGAGCAUGUGGUUUAAUUCGAAGCAACGCGAAGAACCUUACCAAAUCUUGACAUCCUUUGACAACUCUAGAGAUAGAGCCUUCCCCUUCGGGGGACAAAGUGACAGGUGGUGCAUGGUUGUCGUCAGCUCGUGUCGUGAGAUGUUGGGUUAAGUCCCGCAACGAGCGCAACCCUUAAGCUUAGUUGCCAUCAUUAAGUUGGGCACUCUAAGUUGACUGCCGGUGACAAACCGGAGGAAGGUGGGGAUGACGUCAAAUCAUCAUGCCCCUUAUGAUUUGGGCUACACACGUGCUACAAUGGACAAUACAAAGGGCAGCGAAACCGCGAGGUCAAGCAAAUCCCAUAAAGUUGUUCUCAGUUCGGAUUGUAGUCUGCAACUCGACUACAUGAAGCUGGAAUCGCUAGUAAUCGUAGAUCAGCAUGCUACGGUGAAUACGUUCCCGGGUCUUGUACACACCGCCCGUCACACCACGAGAGUUUGUAACACCCGAAGCCGGUGGAGUAACCAUUUGGAGCUAGCCGUCGAAGGUGGGACAAAUGAUUGGGGUGAAGUCGUAACAAGGUAGCCGUAUCGGAAGGUGCGGCUGGAUCACCUCCUUUCU
rnacentral:rRNA from 1 species